ACGGACUAGCCAAUGAAAUUGAUCCUUCAGUACAAAAGCUGAAAUUAACCCAUAAGACGAGAAGACCCUGUGGAGCUUCAAAACCAAAACCACUAAACAUGCCUCCUGGUUUUUUAGUUGGGGCGACUUUGGAGCAAAAAAAACCCUCCAAAACAUAAAUCUAUUUAUUAAGAACAACACACCAAAAAUAAUAUUAUAGACCCAGCAGUAUUAAUUUACUGUCUGAUCAAUGAACCAAGUUACCCCAGGGAUAACAGCGCUAUCCUCUUCUAGAGUCCUUAUCGACAAGGGGGUUUACGACCUCGAUGUUGGA
rnacentral:rRNA from 1 species